UAAUUUUAUAGAGUCUAUUAUAUCUGAUAGUGAGACUUACAAUGAUCUCCAUCAAAGUAACAUCCAAAACUUUUUUCGAUGGGUCAGAACAAUUCUAACUCAUACCCAUCAAGGAUCAUCGAUCCAGAAUGAUUUUAGUAAGUUCUCACAAUCUACCAAUGAUAUCUAGCAAUAUAUAGUGGCAACCUAGCAGAAUUGAAGGUAGAACCUCUAAGUAUAGUUAACGUGUGAUUUGGUUCUUUUAUCGAGAGUCCCGAUAGGAUGCAGAUCAUAAAAACUUGUCAAACUCUAAGCAUCUAUCAUAUGCCAGACUUAAUUAGCUUGAGUUCAAUCAUGAAUCCCAUAGAAACUUUUUUUCAUUAUCGCGCUGCUGUGGUCACAAACUUAAGGACUCAGCCUCUUAGGUCGCAUAGGACUACUCCUAAACUACUAAGGUCGAUAGAUUCUCUAUGAGUGCACACCUUACUUCUAUAGUAAAUCUACUGCAGCCAACAAACACCGUAAGACUUUAAAUGGCUAG
rnacentral:lncRNA from 1 species